rnacentral:rRNA from 1 species
UACGUAGGGGGCAAGCGUUGUCCGGAAUCAUUGGGCGUAAAGAGCGUGUAGGCGGCCCGGUAAGUCCGCUGUGAAAGUCCAGGGCUCAACCCUGGGAUGCCGGUGGAUACUGUCGGGCUCGAGUCCGGAAGAGGAGUGUGGAAUUCCUGGUGUAGCGGUGAAAUGCGCAGAUAUCAGGAAGAACACCAAUGGCGAAGGCAGCUCGCUGGGACGGUACUGACGCUAAGGCGCGAAAGCGUGGGGAGCGAACAGG